CGCACAUUGCGCCCUUUGGUAUUCCGAGGGGCAUGCCUGUUUGAGCGUCAUUUAAACUAUCAAGCAUAGCUUGGCUUUGGACGUCGGUGUCGACACCGGUCCGAAACUCUCGUGGCGGGACCGUCUGUCUUCGAGCGUAGCAAGAAACUUCCCUCGCUCUAGAAGCUCCGGCGGGACUGCCAGAUAACUCAUUACCCAAAGUUUGACCUCGGAUCAGGUAGGGAUACCCGCUGAACUUAA
rnacentral:misc_RNA from 1 species